UCAACACCAUUUUAAGAUCUGAUUGAUUUGCUUUACAAUCUAUUUUUGUCUCUUCCUUCAUUUUAUACGCCUUCUUCUUCACUAUUCACCAAAGGUGACUCUUGGCCUCACCAUAGCUUUGUUCAUCGCCAUUGCUGCAAAAUCGUUAUUUUGUUGUAGUUUCUCUGGUUGCACUGCAUUUUGUCUCGGCUUAGAAAGCGACUAAGUCUCCAUUUUGUGUUGCUUCCAAUAAACCUCUCUCCAAGUCCCCGCUUAGCUACACUAAAUAUUGCAAUAAUGAUGAUGAUGCCUUUUCCAUUGUUCAGUGGAUUUUGGUUGUAUUACUGUUUCUGCAUAUGGCGCAAUUAUGCGUCAAUUGCUCACAAAACUGCAAAGAAGAAAAGAAAAUCAGUCAGUCCAUGUUUCUCUUUCACACCAAACGUUUGGUGAUUUGCUUCAUUGUUAUUUUGAUAUUGCUUUUCUGGUUGUAGCUUCUCAUGCACACUAAGUGUUUGGUGUUUUGCUUCAUUGUUGUUUAGCUGUUCUCCUAUAAGAUAAUUAAGCUUUCAGAUAUAUUUUUUUUUCUUAAGUGAUUAAGCACAAUGGCUUGUACUCUUGAUGGUUAAGCUCUUUUGUGUCUACCUUUUAGGUGGUUAAGUUUGUUUUGCUUCUAUUAAGUGAUUAAUCCUUGAGUUGUGAUUUUUGCUUAAUGGUUAAACUUUGCUUGUUGACUUUGAUAUAUGGUGGUUUAACGUUCGGAUUCUAA
rnacentral:lncRNA from 1 species